UACGUAGGUGGCGAGCGUUGUCCGGAAUUACUGGGUGUAAAGGGCGUGUAGGCGGGGAUGUAAGUCAGAUGUGAAAUUCCAUGGCUCAACUGUGGCGCUGCAUCUGAAACUAUAUCUCUUGAGUGCUGGAGAGGAAAGCGGAAUUCCUAGUGUAGCGGUGAAAUGCGUAGAUAUUAGGAGGAACACCAGUGGCGAAGGCGGCUUUCUGGACAGUAACUGACGCUGAGGCGCGAAAGCGUGGGGAGCAAACAGG
rnacentral:rRNA from 1 species